AGACUCUCACUAUUGGAGCGGCCGAUAUCGGAUUAGCUAGUUGGUGGGGUAAAGGCUCACCAAGGCAACGAUCCGUAGCUGGUUUGAGAGGACGACCAGCCACACUGGGACUGAGACACGGCCCAGACUCCUACGGGAGGCAGCAGUGGGGAAUUUUGGACAAUGGGGGAAACCCUGAUCCAGCCAUCCCGCGUGUAUGAUGAAGGCCUUCGGGUUGUAAAGUACUUUUGGCAGAGAAGAAAAGGUAUCUCCUAAUACGGGAUACUGCUGACGGUAUCUGCAGAAUAAGCACCGGCUAACUACGUGCCAGCAGCCGCGGUAAUACGUAGGGUGCAAGCGUUAAUCGGAAUUACUGGGCGUAAAGCGUGUGUAGGCGGUUCGGAAAGAAAGAUGUGAAAUCCCAGGGCUCAACCUUGGAACUGCAUUUUUAACUGCCGAGCUAGAGUAUGUCAGAGGGGGGUAGAAUUCCACGUGUAGCAGUGAAAUGCGUAGAUAUGUGGAGGAAUACCGAUGGCGAAGGCAGCCCCCUGGGAUAAUACUGACGCUCAGACACGAAAGCGUGGGGAGCAAACAGGAUUAGAUACCCUGGUAGUCCACGCCGUAAACGGUGGAUGCUGGAUGUGGGGCCCGUUCCACGGGUUCCGUGUCGGAGCUAACGCGUUAAGCAUCCCGCCUGGGGAGUACGGCCGCAAGGCUAAAACUCAAAGAAAUUGACGGGGGCCCGCACAAGCGGCGGAGCAUGCGGAUUAAUUCGAUGCAACGCGAAGAACCUUACCUGGGCUUGACAUGUUCCCGACCGCUCCAGAGAUGGGGCUUCCCUUCGGGGCGGGUUCACAGGUGGUGCAUGGUCGUCGUCAGCUCGUGUCGUGAGAUGUUGGGUUAAGUCCCGCAACGAGCGCAACCCUCGCCCUGUGUUGCCAGCACGUCAUGGUGGGAACUCACGGGGGACCGCCGGGGUCAACUCGGAGGAAGGUGGGGAUGACGUCAGAUCAUCAUGCCCCUUACGUCCAGGGCUUCACGCAUGCUACAAUGGCCGGUACAACGGGAUGCGACACGGCGACGUGGAGCGGAUCCCUGAAAACCGGUCUCAGUUCGGAUUGGAGUCUGCAACCCGACUCCAUGAAGGCGGAGUCGCUAGUAAUCGCGGAUCAGCAACGCCGCGGUGAAUGCUCCCCGG
rnacentral:rRNA from 1 species